UGGAAAGGCUGACUUGUGCACACUGU
rnacentral:piRNA from 1 species